rnacentral:rRNA from 1 species
UAGGGAAUCUUCGGCAAUGGACGAAAGUCUGACCGAGCAACGCCGCGUGAGUGAAGAAGGUUUUCGGAUCGUAAAACUCUGUUGUUAGAGAAGAACAAGGACGUUAGUAACUGAACGUCCCCUGACGGUAUCUAACCAGAAAGCCACGGCUAACUACGUGCCAGCAGCCGCGGUAAUACGUAGGUGGCAAGCGUUGUCCGGAUUUAUUGGGCGUAAAGCGAGCGCAGGCGGUUUCUUAAGUCUGAUGUGAAAGCCCCCGGCUCAACAGGGGAGGGUCGUUGGAAACUGGGAGGCUUGAGUGCAGAAGAGGAGAGUGGAAUUCCAUGUGUAGCGGUGAAAUGCGUAGAUAUAUGGAGGAACACCAGUGGCGGAGGCGGCUCUCUGGUCUGUAACAGACGCUGAGGCUCGAAAGCGUGGGGAGCAAACAGG